CCUACGGGCGGCAGCAGUGAGGAAUAUUGGUCAAUGGCCGUAAGGCUGAACCAGCCAAGUAGCGUGAGGGAAGACUGCCCUAUGGGUUGUAAACCUCUUUUAUGCGGGGAUAAAGGUGUCCACGUGUGGAUGUUUGCAGGUACCGCAUGAAUAAGGACCGGCUAAUUCCGUGCCAGCAGCCGCGGUAAUACGGAAGGUCCGGGCGUUAUCCGGAUUUAUUGGGUUUAAAGGGAGCGUAGGCCGGUCUUUAAGCGUGCCGGGAAAUUUUGUGGCUCAAUCAUGAGAGUGCGGCGCGAACUGGAGACCUUGAGUGCGCGGAAGGCAGGCGGAAUUCGUGGUGUAGCGGUGAAAUGCUUAGAUAUCACGAAGAACCCCGAUUGCGAAGGCAGCCUGCCGCAGCGUUACUGACGCUGAAGCUCGAAAGCGCGGGUAUCGAACAGGAUUAGAUACCCCAGUAGUC
rnacentral:rRNA from 1 species